UACAUAGGGUGCGAGCGUUAAUCGGGAUUACUGGGCGUAAAGCGUGCGUAGGCGGUUCGUUGUGUCUGUGGUGAAAGCCCCGGGCUUAACCUGGGAAUGGCCAUAGAAACUGGCGAGCUGGAGUGUGGCAGAGGAGGGUGGAAUUCCGCGUGUAGCAGUGAAAUGCGUAGAGAUGCGUAGGAACACCGAUGGCGAAGGCAGCCCUCUGGGCUAACACUGACGCUGAGGCACGAAAGCGUGGGGAGCGAACAGG
rnacentral:rRNA from 1 species